CGUUAGAAAGGCUGCUGGUGAAACUCUUGAAUAUCACAAGUUCUACAAGAAGUUAUGUGCUAAACUGGAAAACAUUAUUUGGAGAGCGAGAGAAGGAAUGCCAAAGUCAGAGCUUCUCAGAACAAUCACGUUUUGAUCCCCACGUAAGUCCGACUAAAUGUAGUUGACUAGUGUAAUAAAUGACGUAAUUAUUCUUCACAAAGAUUGGAAGAUUUGCGUCUUGAGCUUGUAUUACAAUUUAUUGUCUUGUAGUUUGAUUUGGCUAUUGGAUUUAUUUGUCUGUGUAUGGCCAUACUUGUCAAAACUUGUCCUCAGUUUGCCCUCACGCAAACAAUCAAAAACCAAGAUAUAGGAGAGGUUUGAAA